rnacentral:rRNA from 1 species
ACCUUAACGAGGAACAAUUGGAGGGCAAGUCUGGUGCCAGCAGCCGCGGUAAUUCCAGCUCCAAUAGUGUAUAUUAAAGUUGCUGCGGUUAAAAAGCUCGUAGUUGGAUUUCGGAGUUGUUAUCUGAACCUUCUCGCCAUAAAAAGUGGGGGGGCUAAGGUAGCAGUAGUUUUCAUCAUAGUCCACCAGGAUACUCUCUUGGUGUGUACUGGGUGUUAACCUCCUUUUUUCUGGUACUUGCUAUCCAGCAAUGGGUAGUUUUGUCCAGAUAGUUUACUUUGAAAAAAUUAGAGUGUUCAAAGCAGGCAUAAUUGGCAUCAUGAAUACAUUAGCAUGGGAUAAUAGAAUAUGACAUUGGUCUUAUUUUGUUGGUUUCUAAGGCCAAAGUAAUGAUUGAUAGGGAUAGUUGGGGCCGCUCGUAUUGAGUUGUCAGAGGUGAAAUUCUAGGAUUUACUCAAGACGAACUAAUGCGAAAGCAUUCGGCAAGGAUGUUUUCAUUAAUCAAGAACGAAAGUUGGGGAUCGAAGAUG